rnacentral:rRNA from 1 species
AAUAGAUACCCCGGUAGUCCACGCCGUAAACGAUGUCGACUUGGAGGUUGUGCCCUUGAGGCGUGGCUUCCGGAGCUAACGCGUUAAGUCGACCGCCUGGGGAGUACGGCCGCAAGGUUAAAACUCAAAUGAAUUGACGGGGGCCCGCACAAGCGGUGGAGCAUGUGGUUUAAUUCGAUGCAACGCGAAGAACCUUACCUGGUCUUGACAUCCACGGAAGUUUUCAGAGAUGAGAAUGUGCCUUCGGGAACCGUGAGACAGGUGCUGCAUGGCUGUCGUCAGCUCGUGUUGUGAAAUGUUGGGUUAAGUCCCGCAACGAGCGCAACCCUUAUCCUUUGUUGCCAGCGGUUAGGCCGGGAACUCAAAGGAGACUGCCAGUGAUAAACUGGAGGAAGGUGGGGAUGACGUCAAGUCAUCAUGGCCCUUACGACCAGGGCUACACACGUGCUACAAUGGCAUAUACAAAGAGAAGCGACCUCGCGAGAGCAAGCGGACCUCAUAAAGUAUGUCGUAGUCCGGAUUGGAGUCUGCAAC